GAUGAAGAACGCAGCGAAAUGCGAUACUUGGUGUGUAUUGCAGAAUCCCGUGAACCAUCGAGUCUUUGAACGCAAGUUGCGCCCGAAGCCAUCAGGUUGAGGGCACGUCUGCCUGGGCGUCACAUAUCGUUGCCCAAUGCCUAUUGCAGUGCAAUAGGAAUUUCUAGGGCGAAUGAUGGCUUCCCGUGAGCGUUGUUGCCUCGCGGUUGGUUGAAAAUCGAGUCCUUGGUAGGGUGUGCCAUGGUAGAUGGUGGUCGAGUUAGAACGAUACCGAUCAUGUGCAUGCUCCCCAAAAUAUGGCCUCUAUGACCCACACGCGUCUUUUGACGCUCAUGACGAGACCUCAGGUCAGGCGGGGCUACCCACUGAAUUUAAGCAUAUCAAUAAGCGGAGGA
rnacentral:misc_RNA from 1 species